UACGGGGGGAGCAAGCGUUGUUCGGAUUUACUGGGCGUAAAGGGCGCGUAGGCGGCCACCGCAAGUCGACUGUGAAAUCUCCGGGCUUAACCCGGAAAGGUCAGCCGAUACUGCGGGGCUAGAGUGCAGAAGGGGCAACUGGAAUUCUCGGUGUAGCGGUGAAAUGCGUAGAUAUCGGGAGGAACACCUGAGGCGAAGGCGGGCUACUGGGCCGAUACUGACGCUGAUGCGCGAAAGCCAGGGGAGCGAACGGG
rnacentral:rRNA from 1 species